rnacentral:rRNA from 1 species
UACGUAUGGUGCAAGCGUUAUCCGGAUUUACUGGGUGUAAAGGGAGCGCAGGCGGCGCGUUAAGCCUGGUGUGAAAGCCCGCGGCCCAACCGCGGGACUGCAUUGGGAACUGGCGCGCUGGAGUGCCGGAGGGGUAGGCGGAAUUCCUAGUGUAGCGGUGAAAUGCGUAGAUAUAUGGAGGAACACCGGUGGCGAAAGCGGCUCUCUGGCCUGUAACUGACACUGAGGCUCGAAAGCGUGGGGAGCAAACAGG